rnacentral:rRNA from 1 species
GGGGUUGGGGAUAGGCCAGAAAUUCGUGGUCUUAUGGAAAUCCAGAGGAAGGAGGACCCCAAUAUCUUUUUCUUGUCAGAAACCAAACUAGAUGAGAAGAGGAUGGAAAAGUUCAGAAUAAAAUUAGGUUUGAUGAAUAUGCUGCUUCGGGACUGUGAUGGUCGUAGUUGUGGGUUGGCCUUGUUCUGGAGGCGAGAAAUAAACUUGAGUCUUAGGUGGAAAGGGAGGAUGCACACCCAUGCUACAGUCAUAGAAGAGGAUGGCUUCAAACAGCGACUAACAAGCAUCUAUGGCGAGUCAAAGAUGGAUAAGAAGGUUGAAACUUGGCAGCUAUUGCACACUCUGCAUAUGCAAGAGAAGCUUCCAUGGAUCUAUCUAGGCGAUUUUAGCAAAGUCUUAUAA